rnacentral:rRNA from 1 species
UACGGAGGGAGCUAGCGUUGUUCGGAAUUACUGGGCGUAAAGCGCGCGUAGGCGGCUAUUCAAGUCAGAGGUGAAAGCCCGGGGCUCAACCCCGGAACUGCCUUUGAAACUAGAUAGCUAGAAUCUUGGAGAGGCGAGUGGAAUUCCGAGUGUAGAGGUGAAAUUCGUAGAUAUUCGGAAGAACACCAGUGGCGAAGGCGACUCGCUGGACAAGUAUUGACGCUGAGGUGCGAAAGCGUGGGGAGCAAACAGGG